rnacentral:rRNA from 1 species
CCAAUAGCGUAUAUUAAAGUUGUUGCAGUUAAAAAGCUCGUAGUUGAACUUCAGGCCUGUCCAGACGGUCCGCCUUAAUUGGUGUGUACUGUCCUUGGGUGGGUCCUACCUUCUGGCGAAGCGGCAUGGCCUUAAUUGGUUGUGUCGGGGAACCAGGACUUUUACUGUGAAAAAAUUAGAGUGUUCAAAGCAGGCAAAUAUGCUCGAAUACAUUAGCAUGGAAUAAUGGAAUAGGACGAUGGUUCUAUUUUGUUGGUUCUAGGACCGUUGUAAUGAUUAAUAGGGAUAGUUGGGGGCAUUAGUAUUCAAUUGUCAGAGGUGAAAUUCUUGGAUUUAUUGAAGACUAACUACUGCGAAAGCAUUUGCCAAAGAUGUUUUCAUUAAUCAAGAACGAAAGUUAGGGGAUCGAAGACGAUCAGAUACCGUCGUAGUCUUAACCAUAAACUAUGCCGACUAGGAAUCGGGCGAUGUUGACAAAAUGACUCGCUCGGCACCUCAUG